rnacentral:rRNA from 1 species
UACGUAGGGUGCAAGCGUUGUCCGGAAUUAUUGGGCGUAAAGAGCUCGUAGGCGGUCUGUCGCGUCGGCUGUGAAAACCCGAGGCUCAACCUCGGGCCUGCAGUGGGUACGGGCAGACUAGAGUGCGGUAGGGGAGAAUGGAAUUCCUGGUGUAGCGGUGGAAUGCGCAGAUAUCAGGAGGAACACCGAUGGCGAAGGCAGUUCUCUGGGCCGUAACUGACGCUGAGGAGCGAAAGCGUGGGGAGCGAACAGG